GCCUCGGUGGUGUAGUGGUAGAGCACGCGUCCCCGGAUAGGAUGAAACGUGGGUUCGAUUCCCGCCUGAGGCC